GGUGCGGCACAUCUGCGAUGUGUCCUGGUGGUACUCCAUGUUGACCGAAGUGCUGUGCUGCGGAACCUUUACACCACGCUCCUCAUGGCCUUGGUGCAACCGGGCAGCAUCACCACCACCACGCUUGGUCACGGAGUGUUUGAGGGGGCCUCCUCCUCCCAGGGAGCUACCUUGUGAGCGGCUCCUGCAUUUUUCCUGGCGGAGGCUAACAACAUCCAGGAUUACCGGAGCCAAAUUCUCUCCACGUUUGGCACGGUCCUGAAAACGGACUUGACAAAAAAGGUGGUGAAGAAAUUGUCUGGGGAGGGCAAGGGCUCAGACAAAUGGUUCACCAGCAUCGGUAACGAGUUCUCCCAGCUCACCUGAGAGUGUGUGGAGAAGCUGGGGCCCAUGUGCCCUGGCGUCGUGGAGCGGUUCUGGCUUGCCAAUCAACCCGUACCCCGAGAUCCUCUACAUCGACCGGGAAUGCUGCAAGGCACAGGGUCCGACGGCCGUGGAGACUCUCUUCCAGCCUUGGGUGGACGACAGGAUGGUGGUGAGGCUGGACGACAGGAUGGUGGUGAGGCUGGAUAGGUGGAACUCGCACCGCAGCUUGGACGCCGUGUUUGGGGGCGGAGGCCGGCACCACCGAGUCUACUCGGCGCCGCUCAUUGACCGGACAAUCGAGAUGCACAAGGAUGCCACAGGAUAGGCAACAUUGCCUUCUUAAGACGACAAAGGAGGCCAAGGCAUAUAAACCGUCCCAAACCACAGAUGACAGCGAGCUGAGGAACGAGAAUAAGGCUUAUAACAACAGUAAUACCUUAGUCUUAGAUGUUUUUUACACCUUAUAUUUCCACCACAGUCAUGAUGACCUACUGUUGUGCACUAGAGCUUCUGUGCUUGCAUGUUAUCAAAGGCCUAACAGUUUCUGUUUCCUUGUCCGUGUCCUUGAUCGCCACGUCAGAGAGCCGCCAACCAGAGAGAUGAGCCAUCAAUGACGAGUGGGUAAAGGAUUACCUCCUAAAAUAUGUGCAGCUGUUCCCUCCAGUCUCCUGCCAUCUUGAAAUGUACGUAGACAAGGCCAUUUACAGACAAGGCCGCUUCAGGUCUUUCACAUUUCAAGAGAUGUGGCAGUGGUUAAAGUCUGCACAAGCGCCUUCAAGCUGACCCUCAAGCUGGGAGUGACCGUGAGCGAAAGAUGCACAUUUUUCACAGAAAAUGUCCAAAAACGGAAGUCAGACAGGCUAGCUGAGUCCGCACAACUGGGCAAGUUAUAGCCUGUUUGGUCAAAACGUUAAUAUGAGAAGUAUUCAUUUCCCAUGUUGACUAGUGUAAAGUUCAGCAUAAUGAUUUUAAUGUGAAGAUGAUUUUGCUAUUGACCAUUGUCUGUUGCCAAUGUCAUAUCAGAUAUGGAUCCACUGCUGCCAGUACUAGAGAUCCUGGACACUAGUGUGCCAGCAGAGGGGCCACAAUGCCUACUACGGGCCUCAAGAAAGAGGCCAGGGCUGUGCAGGGAAAAAGCCAGUGUGGGCAAGCUGUUGCGGGAGCCGAAGAUGGCCUACAGGGAAGACGACGCUCUUCCAGCCUUGGGUGGACAAUGGGAUUGUGGUGAAGCUGGACAUCUUCUACUGGCUCCAUCGAUUCGAUGUGGCUCUGCGGACCGAGGCUCACUCUAAGUACGCUGCCUUCAAGUCGGCGCUGACCAGGGCGGUGCUAGCCUACAACUACAGGACCUGGAAUUGCUCAUCCAGGCCGUCAAGAGCCAGAGACCCGUCCGUCAUGGAGGCUGUGUUGGACGAGGAUGUGUUCUGAUGCUACAUCUCGCGAGAACAGCUGAAGCACCAUGUCCGACGGGUCACCCUCGGAGUCGUUUCGUCUCAUUCACCUGGUCGAGGAGCUGACGGGUCCGGCAGGGCUCGAUGAGAGUGGCGUCAGCCUCUUCAAGUCCGACAAAACACACAUACCCACGCACACACAUGCUCAAAGGCAAUUAUGUGCAUUGAUGGCUGCUUACAGCUGCCAUCAAUGAGAUGUGGGCCAGCCAGCAGCAACACCUGGAAUGCAUUCAGGACCCACCAGGCAUUAAUAUGUAUCAGGUGGCUCGCACCACCACCAUCAAUGGUGUCUGCGUGGGAGCAACAGCUUGGAGGGGUUCCACCGCUCGUGUGGGAGAAAUUUUGGAUUACUAAACAAAUCUUAUUACAUAGACAGGGUUCCUACGCAUUUUCCAUUUCAAAAUUCCAUACUUUUUCCAUACUCAAAUGUUAAAACUUCUCGGUAGAUUUUUCUGACCGUAUUCUAGAUAUUGUCAAUGGAGUGUUCUACUAGCA